rnacentral:lncRNA from 1 species
GAGGGUGCCUGAGGGGGAUGUGCUAAAGCCAAAGCACAUUUGCCCCCUCCCAGCGGGUAGGGGAGUGGUGGAGGCGGAGCACAGAGGUGUGGCCUGUCAGAGAAGGCGUUGUUACGACAGCACAGAGAGUACGGCCCUAGGAGCAGGACCCUGCACACAGCUGAGCUCAGAGGCUCCAGUCUGGCCACGAGAAUGCAAUGGGAGGUAUUCUUCAUUGAUCUUACUCGAAGUUGAGAACAUGUAUUUUGACUCUGAGAAAUGUGAGGGCCAGGCCUGCUCACUUGUGUGAGGGUGCAGGCUCUUAUGAUCUGGCUUUCAUUCUGGCUUCCUCUCUGUUGGAGUCUUCUCUUCCUCCCAUUUGGAAGUCAAGUCAAGACUUCUGCUCCUGCCCAGCCUGGACCACCUUGGUCUUGGACACUGGAAGCAAACCUGUGCUUUUUAAUUCU